UAGGGGAAAUUGUAGAAUAAGAAAUUUUAAAAUAUUUCCGCAUUUACGAGUAUAAAGAAUUUGCGAGAGAAAUGUAGAUUUUUUCCUCAGCACUUUUGAAAAGCAUUUCAAUUUGUAUUAAAAAAUCUGAAAUUUGUUCGAAAAAGUUAUAAAACUAUAAAAAUUCCGAAAAACCAUACUAAAAAUCAACAGAGAAUUGAGGAGAAUAUGCAGUUUGAAACGGAAAUCGAGAUAUAUCGCGUGAAUCGUUUUAUCGUGAUUUCGAUAAAUUGUCGAGCCAGCGAGGUUUAUGCGCGCAGGUUCAGGUCGAUGACGCGAUCGACAGUUUCAUAAUUCGCGGUCGAACGGUUUUAUCGGAGGAGAUCUCUUCGCGCUAGGAACGAAUGGAGGAGAUAACAAACGCAACAGCCGGGACAGCCGACGCGCAAAGAGGAAAAGUAGAAAUACGAGAUAAUACCGCCCGUGCUUAAUCUCCAUUAUCUAUUUUCUCUCGUAUUUUAUUCCUAUUGUCGAACGAGACGCGACACGACGACGCGACGACGCGACGCUGCAACCCUCGUCGUGGCGAUUCCGGCCGACCAUCAGAACUUUCCGCUUUCGGAUUUUCACGCUUCUUGUCCAGAGUCCGUCGAUUUUCGCCGUGAAACGAAACUCUUUGAGGCAUUCGCGCGAUAUUCCGCACAAUUAUCCUACAUCUGAUGUUCCUCGGGCGUGUUCCCGCGUGAAGUUGGCCGCUCUCGGUAUCCGCGCGAAGUUGCCGCGAGUUGACGUGAUGCUGCAAUUAUUUUUCACAUUUCACCGUUUCGCGGUCACGAACGAACGAAUCGUACGAUAACGGUCGGUGGGCAGGUGAGCUCGGGAAGAAAACACGUAUAAUGAUUAACGCAGUCGAUCUGCGAAAGUUUCUUGUUGUUCUCGUCGUCGAUCAACGUGAGGGAUGCCGGGGACACGUCUCAAGAAUUUUUGUACAACGCGGACACUUCACUCAUCGAUGGAUUCUUCGUGCAUGCGCGCCUCUCUAAAUACAAGUGAACAACGAAAUACGUAUUUGAACAAUGGCAAUAUGAAUCAACGUUGGUAAGUAGAAUAUGAUUUUUCAUGUAAUUCGCUUGUAUACUACAACGACGUAACUCAAGAAAUAAAAAUUUCCACUUCGAACGUAUAAGUCAUUACAUUUUAUAACAUUAUUUUUAAACGCGAUUUUGGUUUACAGCAAAUCGCAAAAAUAAAAAUGCUUUCUAUCUUAUUCAUAUAUCAUUUUAAUGCUUAUCACGCUAAUAUUAUAUAUAAAUACAUAAGCCUACAAUUUUCGUUAAUUACUAAUACCUAUUGAUUGAAUCGUUAAUUACUAAUACCUAUUGAUAAUUACAUGAGAAUAUUAAAUAACUGUAUUAAAAAACUGUUAUUAAAUAACGUCAGGUUAUUUACA